rnacentral:rRNA from 1 species
CUCAGGAUGAACGCUAGCGGCAGGCUUAACACAUGCAAGUCGAGGGGCAGCAUGAUGAAACUUCGGGUUUCAUUGAUGGCGACCGGCGCAAGGGUGCGUAACGCGUGAGCAACUUGCCCUUAUCAGGGGGAUAACCGGUGGAAACGCCGACUAAUACCCCAUAGCAUCACUUUAAGGCAUCUUUUAGUGAUUAAAGAAUUUCGGUAUGGGAUGGGGAUGCGUUCCAUUAGCUUGUUGGCGGGGUAACGGCCCACCAAGGCGACGAUGGAUAGGGGUUCUGAGAGGAAGGUCCCCCACACUGGAACUGAGACACGGUCCAGACUCCUACGGGAGGCAGCAGUGAGGAAUAUUGGUCAAUGGGCGAGAGCCUGAACCAGCCAAGUAGCGUGAAGGAAGACUGCCCUAUGGGUUGUAAACUUCUUUUAUUUGAGAGUAAAAGAUUCUACGUGUAGAAUUUUGCAAGUAUCAAAAGAAUAAGCAUCGGCUAAUUCCGUG